UACUACUACCACUACCACCAUCGAGAGUUAUAGCUUAAAAAAAAAUACAGGCGUCUGAUCUCGGAAGCUAAGCAGGGUCAGGCCUGGUUAGUACUUGGAUGGUAGACCACUUAGGAAAAUCAGGUGCUGUAGGCG
ensembl:rRNA 5S_rRNA 5S ribosomal RNA